CAGCCAGACGCCAUGUCGUGCUGUGUUGUGCGAUGCUCUUGUCUGACGGAUUCUGUGUUUUCUCGAAUACUUAUCAUUGGUCAAGGUGAAGCAAGACGGCCACAUACCUGCACCAGCCCUGCGCUCAACACCUCAACAGAGUGCUGGCGCGAGUAGAGCACAACUACUACCAUGCAGGAGGCCCCAGGGGACGGCGCCCGGGCGCGGCGGCAGGUGGAGGCGGUAGGUGGUGCGGAGGUUUAACUGAGGAGUGCCGCAAAUCAGCCGCUGUGGCCACACCUUUACGGUAGUGUGUGGCUGGACCCCCGCCGAGCACUAAAUGUUAGCCUCCAGCCAGCGCCUCCUCAUCACUACCCCCACCCCCACUGCCAGCCCCGCCACUGCCACCACCACUCCGCUGCCCCACCUCUGCCAUCCCCACUCCGCUCCCCAUCUCCCGGCCUCCUGCUUUCAAGACCCCUACAGUGACUUACCGCCGCCGCAAUCGCUGCUUCUACGACCGUCAUCGCUCACUGCUUGAUAGAAAGGUGAAGAACUGCCUGGUUGUCGACUCACCUGUUUACGAGUCCGGCCGACGCCUGCCUACCUGAACCUGAUCAAACUCGCACCUGUGCCAUCGAUAACCCGCGCGUGCAAUCAGCCACCUGUAAAAAGAAGCACACGAACGAUCAACUAUCUAGACAAGCAACAAACUGAACAACUACUCUCCAGGCUUAGCAAUCAGCCACCUGGACCACCUGCCCACCUGCCACCUGGCAUAAACGCCCCGAGGCAGCCACAACCACCUUGGUCCUAAUGCAUCGCCCUGUCCAGCGCCACCCACGUCUAGAGGCCAAGAUGCUGCCGGGACUGCUCAUUAUCAGGAUUGCUCACUUCUCCAGUUUCUUGCUGCAGGAGUUGGCUGGUGCUGGUUGAGAGAGGCGAGGUGUGAUAAAUGCAACAAUAAGAAGAGGAGGUGGACGGUGCGGGUUAAGAGAGGCAAGUUGUCUGAUAAAUGUAACAGGAAGGAGAGACAAUGCUACACUUUCAGAUAAAUAGAGAGAAUUAUGUGAAUAGCGUACGCAUGUUGAGAGACAAGGUGUGAUAAAUGUAACAAUAAAAAAGAGGAGCAAGGUGUGUGAUAAGUGUAACUAGUUGUAAGAAGAGAAACCUGCAUUAUGCCUCAGUAGAUGAAAGCUUCAGCUAUAGAGCAGGGAAAAAAAAAAAAGUUAAUCUAGCGAAGUGUAUGUGGAAAGGUGUGAUGCAUGUAAUGAUAAGAGAGACCUACACUAUUCCACUGCAUAUGAAGACUUACUUAAGAAUGAAAGGUAAAAGCGCAUGUCAUUAAGUGUAAGUGCUGAGUGUCAAAAUGAGAGUAUGCCAAUAUUGUAGUAAAAAAAAAAAAGAAAGAUUAUUGGAGAUGAAAAAAUAAAACAUAUCUUCUACAAAAGGAAGUUUAAUUACAAUAAAUAUACAUUGGUUGCCGGCACGGACCACAGAGGCCGGACUAUCACAGGAGUUAUGAGAGAGCAAGUCCAGAGGCGCCACACCGGGGUAACAAACAUACAACAAAGAUCCUUAAGUCCUACCAGCCAAUCCUUUACAAAACAGUAGUCUUUAAUCCUCUUAUGUCCCUUUUUACAGUUGAUUGGGGCUUUUUUACCUAACUUUUUUUUUUUUUUACUGUUUACAUAAUUUGAGUGAACCGUGUGGGCGCCUCCAGACCCGCUACCACUUUGCCCAACACCCCCACCCGCCCCCCUCCCCCCAACCUCACGACUUGCCACAGCAAUCUUCACAUCACAAAACUUUGAUAACAAAAUGCCCCAUGAUCAUAAUAAUAGUAAUAAUAAUGACACGAAUAGUAAUGAUAAUUCCUCUUUCACAUAUGAUAGUACCAGAAUCAUUAACUUUUUUUUUUUUUUUAAGUUUUCUCUCAACAUUUUCUCCUUGUAAUCGGCAAAAUGGGUGAACAUCGUAGCUUUCCUCUCUGUGCUCCAUGAUUCACUACCAUGACAUGAUAUACAACAAAAAUGAGAGACGAGUGACGCGGAGUGUCGUAUUAGUAAAUCCGUAGUCGUUACAGCUCAUGUCGUCGUUGUUGUUGGUGUUGUUGGGGGGGGUAAUGGUAAUAGUAGCGGGCGGUAGCAGCACAAGCAACAACAACAACAGUAAUGAUGAUGAAGACAACCCAGGCGAAACAUGAUCAUCCAACAACAACAACAACAAUUCAUCGUGAUAAGUAAUGGUGGUGGUGAUGAUGUGUGCUUCCCUCCACUGUGCUCAGCCUGACACUGAUGCCUUGGCUGGUGGAGAUGAUAAAGGAGGAGACAGAAGAGAGAGAGAGAGAGAGAGAGAGAGAGAGAGAGAGACUAACGUAGAACCUCGAAUCUUUCUAUCCCACCUGUUGUGUUCUCAGCUUAAAGUUUACAGUGAUGGAAUGUUGUCCUACGUGAGCGAGGGGUGGAGGGGAGGGAACAAUCAGGCCUCAAGAUCUCUUACACGACCUCUAAGGCGCGCCAUUAAGCACUCCCUUUGUCGUGGACGGAGUCUGAAGAGCUGUGGUUAUGAGGAGGGAGGGAGGGAGGGAGUACCGAAGGGUCAUUCAGGCUGCUUGUGUGUGUGUGUGUGUGUGUGUGUGUGUGUUAUCUGCAGGUGGGAUCAGAGCGAGGAACUGAAGAUUAGGCAACCCCCUGCCCUCCCUCCCCCGCCCAGCGUCUAACGAGGGACGACGCUGCUCUCUGGGGCGAAACACACAGACAAGUCCCACGCGCCCACACUUCGCCACGCGAUGAUUAACAUUUGCAGCAAUCAAGAUGUGGCAAUGAGAAUAUUUCACACACACACACACACACACACACACACACACACACACACAUCCAAGCA